GUGCGUUCGUUAGGGCAGCACAUAUACUAAAAUUGGAACGAUACAGAGAAGAUUAGCAUGGCCCCAAAUGGAAGGAUGACACGCAAAUUCGUGAAGCGUUCCACAUUUUG